rnacentral:sRNA from 1 species
UGCAUUUGAAGCCCAUGAGGAUGAGAACCUCCAGGGGCGGGGAGGUUCGACUCGAGCGAAGCGAGAGAACGUUGCGCCAGCAACGGCCCGCAGGGCGAGCCACGAAGUGGCGAGUAAUCCUCUAUCACCGACCA